rnacentral:lncRNA from 1 species
UUAACAGAAAAGUUAAGACACAGAAGAUAUUUAUAUUACAUAAAUCUCACAAAGGACUAAUAACCAGAAUAUGCAAAGAAUUCAUACAAAUCAAUAAGAAAAAGACAUACAACCCAAUCCAAAAAUGGGCAAAAGACUUGAACAGACACUUCGUAAAAGAGAUUUCCAAAUGGCCAAUGAACACAUGAAAAGAUGCUCAAUUUCAUUACUCACCAGGGAAAUGCAAAUUAAUACCACAAUGAGAUACCACUACACACCACCAGAAUGGCUAAAAUGAAAAAGACAAAUAAGGUCAAGUGUUGGCUAGAACACAGAGCAAUCAGGAUUCUAAUACAUUGGAAGUAGGAAUGUAAAUUGGUUUACACAUUUUGGGAAACUUGUGAUGUCUAUUCAAGUUGAUCAUACACAUACCUUAUGAUUCAAUAAUUCCAUUUCUAAGUAUAGAUAGAUAGGAAUAUGUAUAUAUAGUCCCAAAUAGACAUGUACAAGAAUUUUCACAGCAGCACUUUUUAUAACAGCCUCAAACUGCAAAUAACCCAAAUGCCAUCAACAACUGAAUAAGUAGCAGUAUACUCACAUAAUGGAAUACUAUAAUGAAAAUAAACAAAGUUUAACAACAUGUAACAAUAUGGAUGAAUCUCACUGGCACAAUGUUGAACAGCUCAACAUAAAAAAGCUCAUACUGUAAUGAUUCUAUUUACAUGAAGUUCAAAAUGGGUAACACUAAUCUAUGGUAUUAACAAUGAGAUUGGUUACCUGGGGUGGGGAGAAGGGCUAGCUAUUAGAAGGGAGGCAUGAAAGAGAUUUUGGGGUUCUGGCAAUACUGUGUUUCCUCAUCUAGGUGCUGGUAUCACAUGGUGUGUUCACUUCGAAAAUGCAGACUUGCACACGUAGAAUUUGCGUACAUGUUUAUAUUAUUUUCAGUAAGACUUAUUAAUAUAAAACAAAAACAAAACCUUUGGGUUUGUGACUCCUGUAGACAAGUGGCUGGGAAGAUAACAAAGGAUAACAGAUUAGGCUAUGCCAGGAUCAGCCAAGAUGCAGGCCAGUUCUAUACUUCAGGCAGCUUGCCCAAUCUCUAGGGCAGAAGACUAGUCUAGUAUCUAAGGCAACAGCACAUGGCAGAAAAGGGGAGGGUUUCGCUUUCUUCAUCUACUCUUUCUCCAUACUUCAUUCCAGGAGAUUUUCUGUAUAAUUCUAAGGAGUAAGCUGAAAGCUAAAAAGCAAAAGGGAGCUUCAUAAAUGAGAAUAUGCACAAUAUUUCAAGUAUAUUGAAUGAUCUAGAAAAUUUUCAAAAGGUAGGGAUAAUCAGAGUCAAAUAAGGAGAAUGCAGGUUGUUCACCAAAUUAGUUCAGGGUUAAAAGUUUCAUUUGAUUAUGAGUUCAAUGGGGGUAGAAAAUUAUUUGACAGCAGUCUUUUGGGCUGCUUUUAGAUACCCUAAGGAGAAAACAGAGUACAACUUCGGGGAGGGGUGACUGCUCAAUUUCUCACCAUAGCCUUUUUGUCAUAUAGCUUGUUGCUAUGGAGAAGGCCGUGAAGGCAGCAACUAAAGGAAAUAAAGGAUCUGGCAGGAGUAAGCACAGGGAUAGUAGAUUAAACAAAAAUUUCUUGAGCAAUUAGUGAGUAGCAGGGCCUAUAAAUGACAUACUUUUCUUGUUUUUCCUAACCCCUACCCCUUUGAAAGUACAUGGGCUUGGUUUACCACUAUAAUUUAAUUGAAAUACAGAGAAGCCUGAAUGGGCCUAACAAAGCUUAAGCCUGGCAGACAAAACACAAGGCCACUUAGCAAUGCUGCCUAAUGCCAGGAGGAAUCAGCUACCUACCCACCCUAUCCUGGUGAAAUUAUCUCCAGCUGCCUAAAUUAUAAAGUUGAUGCCCUGUGAUUUCUUUGUUCUGUAAAGCCUGAGGGAGAUGGAAUAAUGAGGUAUCAGAAGAGGUGGAGAACAGCCCCUUGUUUCAGAGUAGUCAGAGAGAGAGAGAGCGAGUUAAAGAGAGAAAUGGAGUUAGUUCUCACCGGUAUCAUUAAGAGGCAGCAGCAGCCUCAGUAGCAAUAGCUUGGGAGCAAAGCUCUGCUUGAACUAGUCUGAAACUACUGCUGUGGGAGAAAAGGCUAGUUGCCAACUUUGUUAAUAGCUUCUGCCUAUCAUUGUUACAGCAGCUUUAUCAAAUAGGGCAGGGCCAGGACCUGUUUUUAGCAGUGUAAGCACUAAGACCAGAGGGCUCAACAUCUUCCAGCAGAUUUCAUCACAACCAAUGACUAACAAAGACAAGUCCCUCUUCUAUUCCACAUAAAUGAUUACAGAGUUGUAAAUAUCAGAGCUAGAAGGAUCAUAGAGAUCAUGUAGUCCAACCUCCUCAUUUUACAAAUAAGGAAAUUAAGGCCCAGAUAGUCAAACGACCUUAUUAACAGAGCAAGAAAACACCAAGGCUCUCAAAUAGGACUUUUUCCCCUUUGAAUCACACUUCAAAGCUAAGUUAGUUAGGGCUAAUGAUUAAUCCCAGGCAAUACCAGUAAGAUAUUUAUUGCCUAGGUAUCACUCAACUAAAUUCCUAAGUAUCAGGAUGAUUUUGAUAACAAAAUAGGUCUGGGUUUUGUUACUGAAAUAUAAAAAGAAUCUCAUUUGCAAACAACCUUACCUAUCUGGCAAGCUCACAGCCUAGUCACCUAUAUAUACUGCCUGACUGUGCUUUGCUUGGGGGAGGGAGGAGGUGUGUGAGCAUGCACAAAGGGAGACUCUCUUUCUCCCCUGGAGAUUAGUCUAUUUUGCCAUUUGCAAAAUGAAACUCAAAAAAGCCGGUGACUGAAAUUUUUCCCAAGGUCUUCAGGAUUUAAAUGUAUGACAGUGGACAUAUAACACAAUCCACAAAGGUAUAUAAACACGUCACUGCCCUAAAGUAUCCUCUGGGAGUAAGCUGCUAGGUGGGAAUGUGUUGGCUGUUGUUUUUGGUGGGGGAGGGGUGGGAGAAAGUAGGUACUGAUUUCCCUAAUGUUUCCUUUGUGUGGCUGCUGUUGCCAUGUGGUGGUCUGUUGCUAUGAAGAUUUGUGGUGUCAGACAAUGGCUGCUAGGCUCUUUAUGACUGUGCUAUUGGUAGAGCUAUUUCUUCGGGAUUCAAGCUAGUAUGCAACUGGCUAAACAGUGGAGAAAGCUUGGUUGUUACUGUGCCCCAUCUCUCCUCUAGGGUAGCCAACAAGAUGUAAGCAGAAGUCUUAUGGUGUGGCUUCUGGGAAACCUCUCCAAAGAUCUUCAGAGAAUGAUCUUUGCAGGAAAUCUCUGUUACCUGAAGAUGAAAAGGAAUGUGAACCAACUCUGAUCCCAAUUCAGACCUUCGCCAACUGACAGUUCAGGUGAAGGCCCUCUGGGGUGACCAGAAAGCAAAGAAAAGAUGAGUAUAUUAUUGCUGAACAGUUCUCUUUCAGAAAAAGAGAAUAAAAUAAAGAAAGAGACCUAAGCCUUGAAAUACAGUUCAUAAAUUUUCAAAACAGAAUAGAUUCCGUUCUCAGGGGCAAGUGGAACAUGCAAGAAGUCUGGAUGCCUUGGGCAACAGCAACCUACAGUGAGCCAACUGCUUAGUGGAUGCCUGAAAACAAGACCAUCUAAACAUUUCCUAUAAAAUCUGUACCAAGUGACAGAUACAUGAAGCGGUGUGGGUGGCUGGGCAAUGAGGCAAUCAGUGGGAAGAGUGAACUGGCUGUACCUAUAGGUGUUAAAAAAGGCAAGAGCUGCAUAUGCAAUGAGCCAACAUUAAGUGAAUUUAAGAGUGACUAUUCUCCAUCCUCUUGACUCCCUCAGCUGCCCUUUUAUUAAUUUUUCUCUUCAGGCCUGACCUCAAAUUUAAUUUAUAAUCUAACUCUCCCAUAUAAAAUAUGGAGAGUACAGAUACAGUUUGAAUUACCUGGCCAAUACCUAUCACAUGACUGCAUAUCAUAAGUACCAGGAUCAACACUGUUGAAUACUAUGAAGGGAAGAAUCUCUAGAAGCUGGGAAAUUUUGCUAAGUCUGCUAAAAUCCUCUGUGUGGGUAUCUCCCGCAGACUGUGGACACUUGAGACUCUAAUAACCACUUGGUAAUAUUUACAACAAUAAGUCCCUGGUGGCUCCCCUGCAGAAGCAGGUUGAGAAGGGAGGGGAAAGCCACAUA